UGCGUAGGCGGGCUAAUAAGUCAGUGGUGAAAUCUCUCGGCUCAACCGGGAAACUGCCAUUGAUACUGUUAGUCUUGAGUUCGGUUGAGGUAGGCGGAAUGUGUAAUGUAGCGGUGAAAUGCUUAGAUAUUACACAGAACACCAAUUGCGUAGGCAGCUUACUAGACCGACACUGACGCUGAGGCACGAAAGCGUGGGGAGCGAACAGGAUUAGAUACCCUGGUAGUC
rnacentral:rRNA from 1 species